CCUACGGGGGGCAGCAGUGAGGAAUAUUGGUCAAUGGCCGGAAGGCUGAACCAGCCAAGCCGCGUGAAGGACGAAGGUGCCAAGCAUUGUAAACUUCUUUUGUCAAGGGACAAAAUCAGCCUCGAGUGCCUGACCGAGGGUACUUGAAGAAAAAGCAUUGGCUAACUCCGUGCCCGGAGCCGGGGUAAUACGGAGGAUGCGAGCGUUAUCCGGAUUUAUUGGGUUUAAAGGGUGCGUAGGCGGACUGUUAAGUCAGCGGUAAAAGACCGGGGCUCAACCCCGGCGAGCCGUUGAAACUGGCUGUCUUGAGAUGUCGAGAGGUAUGCGGAAUGCGCAGUGUAGCGGUGAAAUGCUUAGAUAUUGCGCAGAACUCCGAUUGCGAAGGCAGCAUACCGGCGGCGAACUGACGCUGAGGCACGAAAGCGUGGGUAUCGAACAGGAUUAGAUACCCGUGUAGUC
rnacentral:rRNA from 1 species